rnacentral:pre_miRNA from 1 species
GGUGGGGGGGUGGAUCCUAGGCUGUGUCCCCAGCGCCCUGUGCUCCUGGGCCUGCGCUGUUGGAUUCGAGCUCGGGUCCACGCAGCCCCCU